rnacentral:rRNA from 1 species
GCCUGGCCCUAAAUCUUGAUGUUCCACCUUACCUGAACAUCCGCCCGAGAACUACGAGCACAAACGCUUAAAACUCUAAGGACUUGGCGGUGCCCCAAACCCACCUAGAGGAGCCUGUUCUGUAAUCGAUGAUCCACGAUAUUACCUGACCAUUUCUUGCCAAAACAGCCUAUAUACCGCCGUCGCCAGCUCACCUUCCCUGACAGUCCAACAGUGAGCGCAAUAGCCCCAUCACGCUAAUAAGACAGGUCAAGGUAUAGCCUAUGGAAUGGAAGCAAUGGGCUACAUUUUCUAAGUUAGAACAUACGGCAAAGGGAUUUGAAACUGUCCCUGGAAAGCGGAUUUAGCAGUAAAGUGGGACAAUCGAGCCCUCUUUAAGCCGGCUCUGGGGCACGU